AUGAACAUCUUGGCCUGGAACUGUCGGGGCUUGGGGUUGGACUCGACAGUUGGCGAGUUACGGGACCUGAUACUGUCACACAACCCGGCGGUGGUUUUUCUUUGUGAAACAAAAAAAUCAGCAAAAGCUAUGGAGAGACUUAAGUGGAGUUUGGGGUUCAGGAGUGGUGUCGGGGUGGACUGCAAGGGGAGAAGUGGAGGUCUUGCAUUGUGGUGGAGAGAGCACAUCCAGGUUACCAUUAGACCAUGGUGUCAAUAUGUCCUUGAUGUUGAAUUAGUGUGCGAUGGUAAAACCUUUAGAAUCACUGGAUUCUAUGGUGAACCACGGACUGAGCUCGGAAAAAAUCUUGGGAUGCUAUUCGAUAUCUUUGUGCCCAGGAUGAUUUACCUUGGAUGUGUGUGGGGGACUUUAAUGAGGCACUUUUUCAGACGGACCAGCUGGGUGGUAGCCAAAGGGCUUUCUCUCAAAUGGAGGACUUCCGUGAUUGCCUAG
rnacentral:rRNA from 1 species